rnacentral:rRNA from 1 species
GACGAACGCUGGCGGCGUGCCUAAUACAUGCAAGUCGAGCGCAGGAAACUGCCGGAACUCUUCGGAGGGAAGGCAGCGGAAUGAGCGGCGGACGGGUGAGUAACACGUAAGGAACCUGCCUCAAGGAUUGGGAUAACUCCGAGAAAUCGGAGCUAAUACCGGAUAGUUCAACGGACCGCAUGGUCCGCUGAUGAAAGGCGCUCCGGCGUCACCUUGAGAUGGCCUUGCGGUGCAUUAGCUAGUUGGUGGGGUAACGGCCCACCAAGGCGACGAUGCAUAGCCGACCUGAGAGGGUGAUCGGCCACACUGGGACUGAGACACGGCCCAGACUCCGACGGGAGGCAGCAGUAGGGAAUCUUCCACAAUGGACGAAAGUCUGAUGGAGCAACGCCGCGUGAGUGAUGAAGGUUUUCGGAUCGUAAAACUCUGUUGUAAGGGAAGAACACGUACGAGAGGGAAUGCUCGUACCUUGACGGUACCUUACGAGAAAGCCACGGCUAACUACGUGCCAGCCGCCGCAGUAACAC